GACGAACGCUGGCGGCGUGCUUAACACAUGCAAGUCGAACGGAAAGGCCCUGCUUGCAGGGUACUCGAGUGGCGAACGGGUGAGUAACACGUGGGUGAUCUGCCCUGCACUUCGGGAUAAGCCUGGGAAACUGGGUCUAAUACCGGAUAGGAGCCAUCUUUAGUGUGGUGGUUGGAAAGUUUUUUCGGUGUAGGAUGAGCUCGCGGCCUAUCAGCUUGUUGGUGGGGUAAUGGCCUACCAAGGCGGCGACGGGUAGCCGGCCUGAGAGGGUGUACGGCCACAUUGGGACUGAGAUACGGCCCAGACUCCUACGGGAGGCAGCAGUGGGGAAUAUUGCACAAUGGGCGCAAGCCUGAUGCAGCGACGCCGCGUGGGGGAUGAAGGCCUUCGGGUUGUAAACUCCUUUCGCUAGGGACGAAGCUUUUUGUGACGGUACCUAGAUAAGAAGCACCGGCUAACUACGUG
rnacentral:rRNA from 1 species